rnacentral:rRNA from 1 species
GGACUACUGGGGUAUCUAAUCCUGUUCGCUCCCCAUGCUUUCGCUUCUCAGCGUCAGUUAUGGCCCAGAGACCUGCCUUCGCCAUCGGUGUUCCUCCUGAUAUCUGCGCAUUUCACCGCUACACCAGGAAUUCCAGUCUCCCCUACCACACUCUAGUCUGCCCGUACCCACUGCAAGUUCGGGGUUAAGCCCCGAAAUUUCACAGCAGACGCGACAAACCGCCUACAAGCUCUUUACGCCCAAUAAUUCCGGACAACGCUCGCACCCUACGUAUUACCGCGGCGGCUGGCAC